UCCGUAGGCGGGCAAUUAAGUCAGAGGUGAAAUCCCACAGCUCAACUGUGGAACUGCCUUUGAUACUGGUUGUCUUGAGUUAUAGUGAAGUAGAUAGAAUAUGUAGUGUAGCGGUGAAAUGCAUAGAUAUUACAUAGAAUACCGAUUGCGAAGGCAGUCUACUAACUAACAACUGACGCUAAUGGACGAAAGCGUGGGGAGCGAACAGGAUUAGAUACCCUGGUAGUCC
rnacentral:rRNA from 1 species